CGCGGGAGAGCCGACGGACAAGGCCCCGGUUGGGAAACCUCUGCCCCCCACGGCUAGGAGAACAACAGGCCUCUUUUCCAAGGAGAGAGGUCAAAACCUGAGGAACUGCAACUCAUUAAACCCUCAGCCUAAAGGGAAAGAAGCAGUGAGCAACAACGCUGGGACGCAGGCAACGGGGAGGGAAAAGGCAGCUCUGCAGACGUGCCAGAAACAGUUAAAACCUUUGAGAGGGGGAAAAAGCUGCAGGCGAGCUCCAGGUGCAUACCGACAGCUGCUUCCUCCUGCUUGAUACGCAUCUCUGAGCACUUCACUUGCUGGGGAAAAGACAACAUGAAUACGUUCAAUCCUGUGAAGAAUGGAUUUACAGUGGCAGUGCAGCCACCACCAUACCAAAUGCAGUUCUGCCGUGCCAUAGUUUCAUUUUGAUAGCAUCAAAAUUAUCUGUUUACGCCAGGGAAAAAUCGAGGGACAGAAAUGACUGCUCAGCUGCACGCUCGGCAGGCAGGGACCUGCGAGCAGGGCCCCGCGGCUCCUCCCGCGCCACGGGAAGGGUGGCUCGCCGGGACAGGGCGUCUCGUGAGCCUGCUGACGGAAAGCAGCACCCCGCGCCAAGGCGGCCCUGCCCUUCGCAGGCAGCAGCGGUCUCCGGGGCACCCCAGCCGAAACGGGGCACAGGCCCCGAGGUGCAAAGCAGCGAAAGAGCCAAAGGUAAAUGCAAGUUCAAAGGAGACCCAACCAUCCGCAUCAUUGUUCUCCUGACUCAAAACCCUGAAAUCUGGACCAACAGAACAAACAACUCAUACCCAAACCUCAAAACCUCGGAGCAGCUCCUGCAGCUCCAGCAAAGGUUACUAGGAAGAGCAGUAAGGGCAGGGACCGGAGAGCUACAGGUGCUGUGGAAUAAUCACGUCCUCAGAUCACCUCCCCGAAAUCAAAAAGCGACGUGGAAGGGAGGAGGAACCAAGCCUGCUGCUGGAUGUUCGUUUUUCGGCACACCCCGAUUUAGGCAGGAAGCGCGGAGCGUGCCGAGGCGGGGCAGGAGCGCUGGCCGGGCUCCCGCGAGCCACCCGGGAUCGCUCACCCCCCGCGGCCGCAGUCUGACUGCAGCGCAGAGCCAGGCUCACGUCUUUCUGCACGGGACGGAGAUGCUCAGGGCUACCUCGGAGGCCGGCCGCCUUCGGCUCCCUGCCCGGAAGGGCCUCCCAGGGCAGCACCGCGGGGCUCGAGCCCUGCAACACCGGCACCUGCCCACCUAGGGCACCAGAGCCCAGGAAAACGGGCACAACUAACAGCACCAAACUAGCAAAUACAGCAUCAAUAACUCUUCAGCCUCCUUUCCAAGGGGCUCUUUGGUUAUUUCAGGUCCUGAUUUCUGCAACCAUAUUCAGACUUCAUUUAGAAUAAACGUUAAUGAGAAACGUGAUGAGAAAGCAUGUGAUGUUACUGAUACGCCCUUCCCACACACCACCAGAUUCAACGUGCAAUGUUAAAAAGGUUAAUGUCAGUGAUAAAAUUAUAAAUUCCUUGAAGAUUUUCUAACACUCCUCCUGUUCUGUUUCCUCUUGUGGUGGGCACGAUUUCAGCUCUCGCGGUCCUUGUUUCGGUCCUCCACGGCAGCAAACACGUUGAUACACAAAGCAGUAAGGGCAGCGCGGGCUGCGCUCGCUACCCGCCGCGGCCGCUGCUCGGACGAGCAGGCAGAACAGCCCGCGGCCCAAGUCGGGGGCAAAUACCUGACCUAACGUUACCUUGUCAGCCCAAAGCACCCCCGUAUCCCACUGCAGAAAACCUUGCGUUACUCGCAUAAACAAUUUUUAUACCUGCUUCUAAAUAAAGAACAGAAAAACA